UACGUAGGGUGCAAGCGUUGUCCGGAAUCAUUGGGCGUAAAGCGCGUGUAGGCGGCUUGGUAAGUCUGCUCUGAAAGCCCGGGGCUCAACCCCGGGAGGCGGGUGGAUACUGUCAAGCUCGAGUCCGGAAGAGGAGUGUGGAAUUCCUGGUGUAGCGGUGAAAUGCGCAGAUAUCAGGAAGAACACCAAUGGCGAAAGCAGCUUUCUGGGACGGUACUGACGCUGAGACGCGAAAGCGUGGGGAGCGAACAGG
rnacentral:rRNA from 1 species